CAGGGUGGAGAAGGGCUGCAGAUGAGUCCUGUGGCUACAGAUCCCCCAGGCACCGUCCUGAUCAGGAACGUUGGGUUCGCUCUCCCUUUCUUGGCCUGGAUGUUUACUCUCCCUUGCAUGGGCAGCCUGUGGGGGCGUUCCCAGUCGGCCCCCUUCCCUGCCAGCCUGCUCAACCUCGUCCGCCCUGCGUUCCGUCAGUCCCCUUUCUCACUGGACUGCUGGGGCCGCCUGUCUGUCACUGAUAUCUGACCCUGGAAUAAUCAUCUCUCAGCUCCUCACAAUCCCACUCUGCUGGGCCCACGGUGCCAAAACAGCCGGGAAGUCCCUCCCCAAAAUAAGAGUCACUACUGCCCCUCUGUCCCAGGAUUCCUGGCUGUGUUCGUCUCCCUGGUUCUCAUCCUUUGAAGUGGGAGUUCACCUGUGUGCUCAGGGCCCUGCCAUCCACUGGAAUGCAAGACAGAUCCCUCAGGGCAGGGAUUUGUCUCUUUGUUCCCAGCUGCUUCCCCAGUGCCUAGAAAAAC